rnacentral:rRNA from 1 species
AGAGUUUGAUCAUGGCUCAGAUUGAACGCUGGCGGUAGGCUUAACACAUGCAAGUCGUGCGAGAAAGUAUCUUCGGAUAUGAGUAGAGCGGCGGACGGGUGAGUAACGCGUAGGAAUCUACCUAGUAGAAGGGGAUAGCCCGGGGAAACUCGGAUUAAUACCGUAUACCUCCUUAGGGAGAAAGAAGGCCUCUCAUUGAAGCUUUCGCUAUUAGAUGAGCCUGCGUAAGAUUAGCUUGUUGGUGAGGUAAAGGCUCACCAAGGCGACGAUCUUUAGCGGGUCUGAGAGGACGAUCCGCCACAUUGGGACUGAGACACGGCCCAGACUCCUACGGGAGGCAGCAGUGGGGAAUAUUGGACAAUGGGCGCAAGCCUGAUCCAGCCAUACCGCGUGUGUGAAGAAGGCCCUAGGGUUGUAAAGCACUUUAAGUUGGGAAGAAAAGUUAUUGGUUAAUACCCAAUAGCCGUGACAUUACCAUCAGAAUAAGGACCGGCUAAUUCCGUGCCAGCAGCCGCGGUAAUACGGAAGGUCCAAGCGUUAAUCGGAAUUACUGGGCGUAAAGCGCGCGUAGGUGGUUUAUUAAGUUGGAUGUGAAAUCCCCGGGCUCAACCUGGGAACUGCAUCCAAAACUGAUUCACUAGAGUACGAUAGAGGGAGGUAGAAUUCACAGUGUAGCGGUGGAAUGCGUAGAUAUUGUGAAGAAU